CCUACGGGGGGCAGCAGUGGGGAAUAUUGCACAAUGGGGGAAACCCUGAUGCAGCGACGCCGCGUGAGUGAAGAAGUAUCUCGGUAUGUAAAGCCCCAUCAGCAGGGAAGAAAAUGACGGUACCUGAUUAAGAAGCCCCGGCGAAAUACGUGCCAGCAGCCGCGGUACUAUGGAGGGGGCAGGCGUAAUCCGGAUUUACUGGGCGUAAAGGGAGCGUAGUCGGCAGCACAAGUCUGGAGUGAAAAGCCAGGGCUUAACCCCGGAACCGCUUUGGAAACUGUGCAGCUAGAGUGCAGGAGAGGUAAGUGGAAUUCGUAGUGUAGCGGUGAAAUGCAUAGAUAUUACGCAGAACACCAGUGGCGAAGGCAGCUUACUGGACUGUAACUGACGUUCAGGCACGAAAGCGUGGGGAGCGAACAGGAUUAGAUACCCUUGUAGUC
rnacentral:rRNA from 1 species